GUGUGGAAACGUAGUCGCUGUGGCCAGCGCUGGUCUUCAACUAGAUGUCUGCAGCGUUGUUAGACCGCAAACAGCGACAUGCUGCUGCAGAAAUUUCUUCAAACGACGACAUGCCGUCAAACACAUGUUGGGUGUUCUGACUGCGGUGGUCAUACAUUCCGGAAGCUUUAAAUCGUGCCUUGCAAGUCAAAUCCUCGAGGUCACCUUUGGAAGCCAUUUCAGAGUUGAACCCCUCCCGAGAGCUCAUUCUAGGGCUGAUCCUGUUUCCCUGGUUAGAAGAAUCUCUGUUCCGCAUCUUGUCAGUAUUUAGAAAAAACAAACUUUGUUCAUGAUGAGAGAUGCUGAUUUCUCGAAGAUUAGCAGCCUCGGAGUCUGGUCAAGUGGAAUCUCAUCCAUGGAGUCUUGUAGAAUAACUCACAACCAUAUUCAACGUCUCCCAUGAUGAGCUCAAGGCUGAUCCUUGCUCAUCUGCGUCGAUCUGGAUGAUUCACAAGUCGAUGAAGUCACUGAGAAAUUGGGUAAUGGCGACGGAUGCAAUCAAAGUUAGAGCAUUUCACCAGCUUCCACAUCCAAAGACUCUCUCAUCAGAAACAUCGAUCAGGUGGAGAAGUCCCGCGGCCGCAAAGCAUCGUGUUUUGCAGAUCCAAAAAUUGUGAACACAACAAACUUAAUCACAACAACUCAACAGAGCAUGCUCAAUGUAACUCAACAUGAGUUUCUAGUUUAUCACCCACCCACCCACCUUCUAAAAUAGAUCCUCUUUUAUUUAUUUAUCACCCACCUUCUGGAAAGGUAGACUUCUUUGUCUCUCUUUUGCUUACUUUCUUCCACCUCCCUCUUCCCUUUUCUACUCUUUCCUUUUCCUCUUUCUUCUUGACCUUCAAUUUUCUCAUAUCUCACGUUGUUUCUUUUUACUUCUUAAUGCAAAAAAACACUAUUCAAUUCAAA